GCUUCGCUGCCGCCGGGCAGCCAAAACGCCAGAACUCACGUCGUUAGGCCUUUGAAGACGUGAGAUCCGGCGUUUUUAUUUU
rnacentral:ncRNA from 1 species